GACGAACGCUGGCGGCGUGCUUAACACAUGCAAGUCGAACGGUAAGGCCCUUCGGGGUACACGAGUGGCGAACGGGUGAGUAACACGUGGGUGAUCUGCCCUGCACUUCGGGAUAAGCCUGGGAAACUGGGUCUAAUACCGGAUAGGACCACUGCCUGCAUGGGUGGUGGUGGAAAGCUUUUGUGGUGUGGGGUGGGCCCGCGGCCUAUCAGCUUGUUGGUGGGGUGAUGGCCUACCAAGGCGACGACGGGUAGCCGGCCUGAGAGGGUGACCGGCCACACUGGGACUGAGAUACGGCCCAGACUCUUACGGGAGGCAGCAGUGGGGAAUAGUGCACAAUGGGCGCAAGCCUGAUGCAGCGACGCCGCGUGAGGGAUGACGGCCUUCGGGUUGUAAACCUCUUUCAGCACCGACGAAGCGCAAGUGACGGUAGGUGCAGAAGAAGGACCGGCCAACUACGUGCCAGCAGCCGCGGUAACAC
rnacentral:rRNA from 1 species